AGUUCCAGGGAUGGGAAUCGAACCCACAGUGUUCCGCUUACCGGGCAGAUGCCAUGUCCACUAGGCUACCAC